CAGUCGCCGCGGUAAUACGGAGGGUGCAAGCGUUAAUCGGAAUUACUGGGCGUAAAGCGUGCGUAGGCGGUUCGUUAAGUCUGUUGUGAAAGCCCCGGGCUCAACCUGGGAAUGGCAAUGGAUACUGGCGAGCUAGAGUGUGUCAGAGGAUGGUGGAAUUCCCGGUGUAGCGGUGAAAUGCGUAGAGAUCGGGAGGAACAUCAGUGGCGAAGGCGGCCAUCUGGGACAACACUGACGCUGAGGCACGAAAGCGUGGGAAGCAAACAGGAUUAGAUACCCCUGUAGUCCCUGUCUCUUAUAC
rnacentral:rRNA from 1 species